rfam:Physcomitrella patens subsp. patens PHYPAscaffold_154 genomic scaffold, whole genome shotgun sequence.
CUGAAGGGUCAGCAAGGGUGUGUGACUCUACUAUCUGAACUGUGCGAUUUGAUUGCCUCGUAAUGAGGCGUACAUAAAGCUUUUGAUUGUAGAGUCAUGCACCUCUACUGGGCCUUCAG